CUACGGGCGGCACCAGCGGGGAAUAUUGGACAAUGGGGGAAACCCUGAUCCAGCAAUGCCGCGUGUGUGAAGAAGGCCUGCGGGUUGUAAAGCACUUUCGGUUGGGAGGACUGCUUCUAGCACUAAUAUUGUUGGAAGUUGACGUUACCUUCAGAAGAAGCACCGGCUAACUCCGUGCCAGCAGGCCGCGGUAAUACGGAGGGUGCAAGCGUUAAUCGGAAUUACGGGGCGUAAAGCGCGCGUAGGCGGCUAGAUCAGUCGGGUGUGAAAGCCCCGGGCUUAACCUGGGAACUGCAUCCGAUACUGUCUAGCUUGAGUACAGGAGAGGAGAGUGGAAUUCCACAUGUAGCGGUGAUAUGCGUAGAUAUGUGGAGGAACACCAAUGGCGAAGGCAGCUCUCUGGCCUGAUACUGACGCUGAGGUGCGAAAGCGUGGGGAGCAAACAGGAUUAGAUACCCGAGUAGUC
rnacentral:rRNA from 1 species